GAGAUGGAGUUUCACUCUUGUUGCCCAGGCUGGAGUGCAAUGGCGUGCAAUCUCGGCUCACCGCAAGCUCCGCCUCCCGGGUACAAGCAAUUCUCCUGCCUCAGCCUCCCGAGUAGUUGAGAAUACAGCCUGACCAACAUGUAGAAACCCCGUCUCUACUAAAAAUACAAAAUUAGCCGGGCGUGGUGGCGCAUGCCUGUAAUCCCAGCUACUCGGGAGGCUGAGGCCAGAGAAUCGCUUGAACCCAGGAGGCGGAGGUUGUGGUGAGCCAAGAUCGCACCAUUGCACUCCAGCCUGGGCGACAAGAGCAAAACUCCGUCUCAAAAAAAAAGAAAAAGAAACAAAACAAAAAACUUCCCAAGGACCCAAGGACCCAUUUUCCUCUCUAUCUGCCUAAAAUAAUUUCUUAAUAACUCCUACAACAUUCCCCCCUGUGGAGAUGCCACACUAACUGCUGUUAGGGAGUUUUGGGCGACGACUCCUUCUGGCUACUUCUUGUUGCAAAAGGGCGUCGAAUGGGGAAGAGCAGCUAGGGCUCCUCCUGGGGUCAAUCUAAGGGUCCUCAGAAGAAUGAUGUGUCUAUGUGUGGUUCUGUUUACAGCACCAUUUGGAGUUUGAUUGCUUCUAGAUGAGAAGAAACAAUUUGAGUUAUAGUAUUGUGUAUACAGGGUCCAAAUAUCAAUACAAGACACAUAAGCAAGAGAGGGCUUAAUAAAGGGGUUAACCAAUUCCAUAAAGAA
rnacentral:lncRNA from 10 species